UACGUAGGGGGCAAGCGUUGUCCGGAAUUACUGGGCGUAAAGCGCACGCAGGCGGAAUUGUAAGUCCGUUGUAAAAUUCAGAGGCUCAACCUCUGUCUGUCGGCGGAUACUGCAAAUCUAGAGUAUGUGAGAGGGAAGUGGAAUUCCUGGUGUAGCGGUGAAAUGCGUAGAUAUCAGGAGGAACUCCGGUGGCGAAGGCGACUUCCUGGCACAAGACUGACGCUCAUGUGCGAAAGCUAGGGUAGCGAACGGGAUUAGAUACCCCGGUAGU
rnacentral:rRNA from 1 species